UGCCCUGGAUUUUGUCACUGGGCUGCCUCUAUCCAGUGGUAAUACGGUGAUCCUCACCAUUGUGGACCAUUUUUCCUAGGCGGUCCAUUUUAUUCCCCAUCCCAAACUCCCCUCAGCUAAGGAGACUGUACUGGUGGUGGACCAUGUUUUCCUGAUACAUGGCCUUCCGGUGGAUGUGGUCUCCAACAGGGAGCCCCAGUUAAUUUCUAAAUUCUGGAGUUCUGUCAGCAGAUUGGCACUUCGGUAAGUCUGUCAUCAGGAUUCCAUCUUCAAACCAAUGGGCAGUCUGAGCAGGCCAACCAGGACCUUGAGCGGAUGCUCCAAUGCCUGGCUUCCCAUAAGCCCUCAUCCUGGAGUCAGCAGCUAACAUGGGCCGAAUAUGCCCAUAACUCCUUGACCGUGUCAUCUACUGGUCUUUCCCCUUUCCAGUGCUGUCUUAGUUACCAGCCCCCUCUCUUUCAUUCACAGGAGGCAGAAGCCUUGGUUCCCUCAGUCCAAACUUUUAUUGAGCAGUGCUGUCACACUUGGAGGAGAGCUAGGAAAGCGCUCCUCUGGACUGAGGGACACACUAAGGCUGUGGCUGAUCGUCACCAGUCUCGGGCACCUACUUAUGUUUGCAGGCAGAGGGUGUGGCUCUCCACCAGGGACCUGCCUCUCAGGAUGUCGGCUCGCAAGCUGGCACCUCAGUUCAUCGGGUUAUACCCUAUAAUUAAGGUGCUCAGUCCAGCAGUGGUUCAGCUUAAGCUUCCGCUCUCUGCGAAGAGUACAUCUUGGAUUCCAUGUGUCCCAUAUUAAACCUGCUUGUCUAAGCUCCCACAGUCCACCCGUUUCAUCCCCACCCCCACCUCCCCAUAUUAUGGUUGGGGUCCCCGUUUACACUGUCAGGAGAUUGCUGGAUGCCAGGAGGUGGGGAUGGGGAUUCCAAUACAUUGUGGACCGGUGGAGAGAUGUUGGGUUCCAGCCCGGGACAUUCUGGAUCACUCGCUCAUCGAGGAAUUCCAUCUACAUGUGUCUGUUUGGUUCUUUUUGACAAGUGCCAUGUGCUGACUAUGUUCUGCUAACCUAUUGGCUAAUUAGUUUAUCAUCAUGGCUACUCAUUAUGAUCGGCACCUGUUCCUCAUUCCACACUGAUCUCCUUCCCUAUAUAUUCACCUCUCGUAAGCUGUCUUGUGUCAGAUUGUUUUGUGCUGUUACCAUUCAGUCCAGCCAUAAUUUCUAGUAAUCUGUCAGUUUGUCUGUUUAGUCUGCCCAGUUUCGACUCCUGCCUGCCUCCUGACUUUGAAUCUCUGCCUCACCCUGGAAGCAUUACGGACUGUUUAUACCCUGGUUCUGACCUCUGCCUGUCAUUACGGUUCUCUCUUCACCUCAGCCUGUUUUGGAUAUAUCUCUGCCAUGCCCUUUGGAUUAUUGCUGGUCGCCCUCUCUCUCUGCCGGGGUGAUAACUCCUCAGUUUGGGAUUACAGCCUGUCUUUGUUGUUGUUUUUCAAAUAAAGAACUCUCUUCAUCACAGCUCUUGAGUUCUCAAGGUAUUUCAUGACAGGAGCUACUUUUAGCAUUAAAAUGCUUCAUGAAUUACUCUUAGAUUAAAAUUUUACGAGUCCUAAAAUUAGGAGUGACACACCCCUUAUUUUUAUGAGUUGCUCCUAAAUUUCCACAUUAGGAGCUACUUUUAGCCUAAAGAUUUUUUGUAAAUAUGGGUCCUGUUUUCUUAUAUCUUGAAUAAUAUCUUAUUUCUUGAUUUAAGUUUAUUUUUUCAGUUUUUGUUCUUUAUUUUAUAUAACACAAUCUUUUUUAGGUUUAUUUUAUUUUUUUUUUUUUUUUUUUUUUUUUUUUUGCAAUGUUGCAGUUAAAUAUAUCACUUUUUGAUGUUUUAUGAUUUAAAGAGCUUUACCGAUUUACCCAGAUUUCAAGGCCACUCCUGUGGCACAUUUCUUGCAUUUACACUAAAAAGAAUGUCGUUUGGCUUUUCAACUUAAAGAAAGAGGAGAGAGACACACAGAGUGAAAUCAAAAGAGAGAGAGAGAGAGAGAUUUGGUCAUUGUGUGCCAUGGCAGAUUGCGAAGACUAGCCAUUUUGCAGGCAGUGUACAUUUUCUUUGAAUUCAGUAGUCUACCUGAAUAAGUUCACAGGCCGAAAGAGGCUAUUUCCAUCCUUUAAGAGGGUAUGAGUGGGGUUGUGUACGUGGUAUGUGGUUGUGCCGUAAACACGUUCACAGACAAAUACUCCAAUCAACAUCUGUUCACAAGCCCCUUUUGUUCCUCUACAGUUGCUUAAAAAAGGCUGUCAACUUGCUCUGAAAUGGUUGCUUUGCCAUUAUUUUGUUUGUUCAAUGGGAAGCCCUCCAAUUCCUCCUUCAGUCUCUUAUUUCCUUAUUUUGUCUUUGAUUACAGGGCUGCAAAAUGUCUCCAAACUGAAGGCUGAUUUGCCCCUCUUGUCACACAUGGGCAGCACCAAGGCCAUUACAUCCAGAUGUAUAGCAUCUGGUCUAUCUUGCCUGUCUUUCUCUUUUCUCUUUCUCUCUUCUGGGCUUUAGGGGUCUCUGAACUGCACAUUCUCUCUCAACACUUUGUCUAGUAUGUCUAUUAAAAGGCCCACCCACUUUGUACUGCUGUGGGGCCAAGACAGGCAGCCUUCAUGCUGCAUGCAAAAUUACUGCCAUGCCCGUGCCCCAGCUGGUGGGGUUCAGUCUAUUAGAAACACUAUCAGAGAGCAUUUGAAACUGAUAACAUUAUAACACUUUGAAUUGCAGAACUAGCAUUACCUAUGCAAUACCUUUGGCAAUAACUUUUGGCAAAAUUUAAAUUUGAAAGUUGCAACUAAAAACUGGAUUUGAAGUGGACUUUAAAGGUGCGUGUGUAAUGUGUGGGCCACAGGUGUCACCAAACAGAAUUUUAUGAACACUCCUCAUAUUAUUCAUUGGUUAGACAAACAGAUAUCAUCAAACAGAUAGUCCCAUCCCAAAAGUAUGCCAGUUGUUGAGUCAAAGUUGCUCAAACAAACAUAAGAAUAUUUUGAUUCCAUUGUUUGGAAAAAGUUCACCUAAAGGUGGAUAUUUGAGGAUUUUAAAGGUGAAGUGUGUCAUUUCUGCACCACUACCAAAUGGAAUUGGAAAUAACCUACAGAUGGAUUACUUAUAGUUUUCUCUGCAUAUUAACCUUGUAUAAUGGGUUCAGGAUGGGCAAGGAGGAGGCAGGAACCGGCAGGACAGUCAACAUAGCUUUAAUGACGUAACUGAACUUAAAACAACAUAAAAAGAUGGGAACUUAAAACAACAUAAAAAAACAAACACACACACACACACAGCACGGCCAUGUGUGUCUCUCUCUCUCUCCCAGACUGGCAUCUCCAGCUCUCCUUUAUCUCUCUCUACCACUGAUUGACUCAGCGCCGGCCAUGCACCCUCAUGGCCCGGCCACGCCUCCUCCUUGUCACACCUUGGAUGGGAGAAAGUAUUUUAAAUACUUUACACACAUUGCUUCAACAGCAGCGAUGUACAUGUUUUUUUUUUUUUUUUUUUUUU